rnacentral:rRNA from 1 species
CCUGAAACCGUGGACGUACACGCCGGGGGAGCACCUUCGGGUGUGACUGCGUACCUUUUGUAUAAUGGGUCAGCGACGUAUAGUCUGUAGCAAGGUUAACCGUAUAGGGGAGCCGCAGGGAAACCGAGUCUUAACUGGGCGUUAAGUUGCAGGUUAUAGACCCGAAACCAGGUGAUCUAGCCAUGGGCAGGUUGAAGGUUGGGUAACACUAACUCGAGGACCGAACCGA